CUUUAUGCUCCCUCGCGACUAAUGGAAACACAGAAAAAUUUUAUGUGCUUUCAUUAGCCGCGCGAACCUCAGCAAUAAAGACUAUUAAAAGCAACAAUACAUUACUUUCUGGUUAAUUGCUGCUUUUGAGUUGAAAAAAGGGGCCUCUGGAGGCCCCUUUUU
rnacentral:sRNA from 1 species